GGCCGUGCUGUACGGACGUGCGGAGCGGCUGUUGCGGUGUUUACAUCGUCGCUGCGAGCGGCCGGCCCUGUGUGGCAGUGUGUUAGGAUACCCGGUCUGUCAGGGAGCGGUAAAAGGUGGAUGGCAGGCGAGCGCGGUAAAAGGAGCGUGGGCACUGCACGGCACAACGGGCUCAGUAGUAGUAGGAGUUCGGCAUUGGUUUGAGCAACACCUUCUGGAGCUUCACUGAGCCUCGGGUAUGUUGUUCCAACGCCCAAACAGCAGGGCAAAACUCCAUAGGCACUAAAUGGAAAAGUAUUGCGAUGCUAAGAAGAAUUAAAGUGCCGAUAUGUCAAGAGCGAUAGCUGUGGUCGUAUGUGUGCUCUGUGCCUCGCCAUCUCGCCGCCCGCCAACCGCCGCAUUGAUACAAGCAGCGACAGCAGAAGAUUCACUGCAGGGGUGGCCAACCCACUGUCCGAUGCCGCCCAAAGCAAGGAUCAGUGAGACCUUAGAAGUGAGCAUCCAUCACGGGCAAAAAAAUUAAAAAAGGAACCUGUUAUGUAACGAUAGAUUAAAUAUUUUCAGCGUGAAACUCCUACUACUCGAUGUCAUUCUCUCAUUGGUCCAUAUCGCUCUAAACAUUGCCGCCCGUGGUGUACUUGAAUCUCCUGGUCUCGUUCUUAUAACUGGCUAAUCCGUCAGACGCGCUGGUCUGUUAU